GAACCACGGCGAAGCGGGAAGCGCGGCCCCGGGGCGGGCCUGGCGGAAACCACUUAACCCCUGAGCUCCCGGCCGAGCAGCGCGCCGGCGGCCUCCCCAGCCCGAGCCAGGGUCUGGGUCGCGAGCCCCCCACGCUGUGCAUCGGAGCUGGGCCUGCCUCUCCCGACGCCCCUGAGCGGAAAGGAAACUCCUGAUCGGGAAGAAAAGCAACUCGCUCAUCCACGCCUUUGGGCGGCUGGAGGACAUCAUCCCUGGAAGUAUUUGGGGAACUUUAUUCCAUUUUAAUCUUUUUGUCCUCAGGCCCAGGAGUCCGCUCAAAGGCUGGUUGACUUGACUUGAAAUUAAGGGAGGGCUGGGGGGAGCAAUCCCACACACAGCUCAAUAAAUAUGUUAAAAAAUAAUGAUGGUAGUGGGACUUCAGGAACUAUAACCCAGAGAAAUGGGGGAGGGGCCUCACCCCUCACAUUACUAUUUAUUUUGCCUUUGGGAAGACCCGCACCUGAGAAAAUGCUUUAUUAUUUGGUGGACUCAAAAGUCUCAAAGGCAGGACAUCCUUCCAGUCAGGUAAGAGUUAACUCCUGUGACAAGUGCUGUUUCACAUUGCGGUUUGAAGACCGGUGUUACCACAAUCUCCUGAUCUAAUAUUUAAAGCACCCAUGCAGAUAGCAAUUGGCCCACUGUCUGUAUAGUGAAAAAAACCCAUCCAGGUGAGCUGGGAAAGUCAGAGCCAGUGGUUUUUGUUUUUUGUUUUUUUUUUUUGAAUCUUUUCUUAAUCAGAAUCAGUUGUUCAGCCUGUUGUCUUUUAUGAUUAAUAGUCCGAACUCUCCCCACCCCCUUUUGAAGGGAGAAGGAAGUAGCCAUUAGGUCAGAUACUGUAUUGUCAGCUGGCUUGGGAACAUGGUAGAGCCUCCUGGAAAGACACUGUUGCAUGGACCCAGCUGGAGAUCCAGAUGGUGAGCCCUGAUGAGUGUAGGCAUCAGUCGGCCUGAGAGGAGCAGGAAGUGAGGGAUGCUGGGGGAGUCCCAGAUUCAGUGCUGGGAGCAAUGGUCAGCUCCCUCUGCCCUUUUCCCUGCCAUGACCAUAAUGCCUGGUGGGCGUGCACUUUACUCAGUGAAGGCAAAUUGUAUCUAAGGCCAGAUAAAGUGUCAAGACCGCACAUCUCUGACUCAGACUGCCGUGAGUCAUCCUGAAGCCAGAGGACAUGCACUUUGAGACGACGGGCCUUGCACCCUUCUGGUUGGCACCUUUACUGCCCUAUGGACUCACGUGGCUGAUUGUGCUACGGUAAAUUCGGUGUGACGACUUUACCGUCUGACCGAGGAUGCCUAGUGGCCCAUCUCUGGCUGGUGGACUGAGAACUAAACACAGAUGAGACGUGGAACCAAGGCUUUCAUCCACCUCUGGCUGGGUAGGAGGAGUCUACCUGCCUUUCAAGGAAGACUGAUGAGCCAGAUAAACAGAGAGAUGGCAUCUUUUAACACUGGAAAAAGCAAGUUAUAUCACUCUUCCCCGCCUCACCCAAUACUUUCAAGUUGACUUGUUUCAGAAAGAAGUUGAACAUCUUACUCCAGCCUCUUCUUCCCACUAAGCCUUGGGAAGAUGAAACAGUUCAACACGAGUAAGCUUGAUAAGGGCCACCAACCAGCACAGUGGUGGCAGCACCCAGCUGGCAGUGGUAUUUCAGUCUUUGGAUACAACUUCUGGGUCUGCCCAAAAGGGCUGUCAUUAGUAGGAGGGGACUAGCUCUCCCGAAUGAGGGAUGUGUGGGUUAGCCUAAAAGGACCCGCGAGGAGGAAGGUUUAUUUUUGUCAGAAGAUAUGCAUUUGUCUAAUCGCCUGGAGGGAAAAGCUUUGCUUUUAUUCCCGCACAGUCAUUGUUACGAAAAUAACACAACUGGUGAGAAGCGGCAAAUGAGGAAAUCAUACACCAGCCUCCAUGAGUUGUAUAAGCAACUGUCCGCGGUGAAGUCUUAUUAAAGUGAAAUUGUUAGUUCUCGGCUUCUCAAGAAGCAUGGAGUCUUUGAUCAGAAGCUCUCAGGUGGAGGCCGUCCUGCACCAGCCCUGCUGUUCGGGAGGGCAUUCCGCUGCAAGAGCAGGAACCCACGAGAAGGCGAAGAAGGGCG